rnacentral:lncRNA from 1 species
AACCUCACAGAGAAAGUGGAAGUAAGAGGGCUUAGGUGGGGAAGCUGAACAAGAGAAAGAACGCGAAGGGAAAGCCGCCUAGGUGGGAGCAGAGCGGGGAGACCCUCACGUUGGUAGAUGAGAAGGGGCCAGCUUUCAUCAGUAAUCCCCCUGCCCGCGCCCCUCCCGCGCCAGGGUCUCCACAGUGCCCCUCCAGUGCCUACUCUUCCUCAGAGCGCGGUUACUCCCGGCCGGGAAGCGGGAGCCCAGCCGUCUCUCAGGCUCAGAGCCGGCCAGUGGGCUGCGCCGAGGCUCCCCAACCCGAGUGCGGGACGAAAGCGCGGGGCCGAGGAGGGGCUGUGAGUGAAGCCGCGCGGUGGACGAGUUAGGGCCGGGGUUAGGGAGGCUGUGGUUCCAGAUAGAGACACGGGAGUAGUGUCUGGAGGAAGCGAAGCUAGGCGAGGCAAGGCGAGGUGAGGUGAGGCGAGGCGCGGGGAACCUCGAAAGGGUCCCCAGUGCCCUGAGAGGGGCGUCCGCGGAAGCCAGCUGGGAGACGGGCGGGGGCAUUGCGCCGGGGAGAGUACGGACAGCGGGGUGCUGAGCCCGGCGCCAGCGAAGAGGUUGGGGUGCCCCCCUCCCCGCAGGAGGAGCCUAGCGCUCCUCCGCCAUCCCUCCCCCGCGCGCCGGGUUUGCUUCUCCGCGGGCAGCCGCGGGCUGGCGGUGCUGGGGCCAGAUAAGGGGGAGCGACGGGGCCGCCGCCCCCGGGCCGGGCGGGCCGGGGCUGGGGGCGGGGGCGAGGGCGAGUGAGGCG